CGCUUUUUCACGAAACCGUGAUUAUAAAUCUCAUCUCACAGAUUGUAAUAGUUUUAUUUAAAUUCACCUCACCUAGGCAAAAAAAAUGUGGGUUUAGUUACAUUAUAUGAUCAUAUACUGUAGAAGCCUGCCACAACGUCAAUGUACCCCAUUCUUGGAAGGUCCUCUCCUAGCAGCCUAAUGCCUUAUGGCCUGACUGGUGUGUGCAGAUCUGUGUUUAACAAUAUAUUGAAUAUCCACUGACUUCAGACGGAAGGUGUUUCCCCCUUCCCCGCCCCCCCCCCCACCAUAACUUUCUGCAAGUAAUGCCAAGCUUCAAUAGAAAGCCAGUAACCAACCUCAUGCUGAUGAGUUGCAUUAACAACAAAACUGUUGUCCAUUAUUUGGUUAACCGGCUCUGUAUCUAUUCCUGAGUUGUUUCAAAACUGUUGUGUUCAGCAAACAAACGCCAAGCAACCCAUGGAAUAAUGAGGCAGAAAGGUGAUUCUUUGUAGAACUAAUUGGCAUAUGCUCACCAGGAAUCCCUUGCAGUAGUAACAGCACUGCAAACUUGAUAUUUAUGUGGAAAAUCAAGUCUUAUGGCUUGACUGGUGUGCAGAUCUGUGUUUAACAAUGUAUUUUUUUUAUUUCUUACAAUGUCUUAAAACACCACAAGUAGAAAGUAAUAAUUGACUGUAGGAUAGCAACCCCACAUGAAUCGUUUGAUAAAUUUAAUGUUAGAUUAUUUUGCUUUCUGGCUGCAUUAUAUCACAGAUUCAAAGAAUGGCUUGCUUUAAAACCUUUGAAUGCCUGUCUCAUUAAUUUAAGAAAAUAUUAUCUUUGCAUGCCCAG